AACGAACGCUGGCGGCAUGCCUAACACAUGCAAGUCGAACGAGACCUUCGGGUCUAGUGGCGCACGGGUGCGUAACGCGUGGGAACCUGCCCUUAGGUUCGGAAUAACUCCCCGAAAGGGGUGCUAAUACCGGAUAAUGUCUUCGGACCAAAGAUUUCUCGCCUUUGGAUGGGCCCGCGUUGGAUUAGCGAGUUGGUAGGGUAAAAGCCUACCAAGGCGACGAUCCAUAGCUGGUCCGGGAGGAUGAUCAGCCACACUGGGACUGAGACACGGCCCAGACUCCUACGGGAGGCAGCAGUGGGGAAUAUUGGACAAUGGGCGAAAGCCUGAUCCAGCAAUGCCGCGUGAGUGAUGAAGGCCUUAGGGUUGUAAAGCUCUUUUACCCGGGAUGAUAAUGACAGUACCGGGAGAAUAAGCUCCGGCUAACUCCGUG
rnacentral:rRNA from 1 species